GGAUUAGAGUAUUCAUAUUGUAGAUCCAUUCCAUUUCAAUCUGGCCUAUCCUUUUAUUAAAAUCUCCCCCUCUCCAAUUUUUUCUACCUUUUUUACACCCAUAAAAAUAGGCGUUUUGGGUCUUGGUUAUGGAACUGUUUGAAAUGGCUAGAAACGCUAUGAUUCUCGAAUCCUCUCUGGAUAUUACAGAUGUGUUCAUUAAU